CGUAGGUGGCAAGCGUUGUCCGGAAUUAUUGGGCGUAAAGCGCGCGCAGGCGGUUCCAUAAGUCUGAUGUGAAAGCCCCCGGCUCAACCGGGGAGGGUCAUUGGAAACUGGGGAACCUGAGUGCAGAAGAGAAGAGCGGAAUUCCACGUGUAGCGGUGAAAUGCGUAGAGAUGUGGAGGAACACCAGUGGCGAAGGCGGCUCUUUGGUCUGUAACUGACGCUGAGGCGCGAAAGCGUGGGGAGCAAACAGGAUUAGAUACCCUGGUAGUCCACGCCGUGAACGAUGAGUGCUAAGUGUUAGAGGGUUUCCGCCCUUUAGUGCUGCAGCUAGCGCAUUAAGCACUCCGCCUGGGGAGUACGGCCGCAAGGCUG
rnacentral:rRNA from 1 species